GAUAAGAACGUAGCGAAAUGCGAUAAGUAGUGUGAAUUGCAGACUUUAGUGAAUCAUCGAAUCUUUGAACGCACAUUGCGCCCCUUGGUAUUCCAUUGGGCAUGCCUGUUCGAGCGUCAUUUACACCCUCAAGCCUAGCUUGGUGUUGGGCGUUGUCCGCAAGGACUCGCCUCAAAUUCAUUGGCAGCGGCAUCGUCAGCUUCUCGCGCAGCACAUUGCGCUUCAGAAGGCUUCUGGCGGGCUCGCGUCCACUAAGAUACCACCCAGUUUGACCUCGAAUCAGGUAGGGAUACCCGCUGAACUUAAGCAUAUCAAUAAGCGGAGGA
rnacentral:misc_RNA from 1 species